UACGGAGGGUGCAAGCGUUAAUCGGAAUUACUGGGCGUAAAGGGCUCGUAGGCGGCCAACUAAGUCGGAUGUGAAAUCCCCAGGCUUAACCUGGGAACUGCAUCCGAUACUGGAUGGCUUGAAUCCGGGAGAGGGAUGCAGAAUUCCAGGUGUAGCGGUGAAAUGCGUAGAUAUCUGGAGGAAUACCGGUGGCGAAGGCGGCAUCCUGGACCGGCAUUGACGCUGAUGAGCGAAAGCUAGGGGAGCAAACGGG
rnacentral:rRNA from 1 species